AGUAGAGUGGCGCACGGGUGAGUAACGCGUGGGUAAUCUACCCUUGGAUUUGGGAUAACUCUGCGAAAGUGGAGCUAAUACCGGAUAGUCUGGCUUUAAAUAAGAAGUCGGUAAAGGAUGCCUCUGCAUAUGCAUUCGUCCGAGGAUGAGCCCGCGUCUCAUUAGCUAGUUGGUAGGGUAAUGGCCUACCAAGGCAACGAUGAGUAGCUGGUCUGAGAGGAUGAUCAGCCACACUGGAACUGAAACACGGUCCAGACUCCUACGGGAGGCAGCAGUGGGGAAUAUUGCGCAAUGGGCGAAAGCCUGACGCAGCAACGCCGUGUGAGGGAUGAAGGCUUUCGGGUCGUAAACCUCUGUCGGAAGGGAAGAACGGGCAUUGGUCUAAUAGGCCUUUGUUUUGACGGUACCUUUAGAGGAAGCACCGGCUAACUCCGUGCCAGCAGCCGCGGUAAUACGGAGGGUGCAAGCGUUAUUCGGAAUUACUGGGCGUAAAGCGCACGUAGGCGGCCUUGUAAGUCAGGGGUGAAAUCCCACGGCUCAACCGUGGAACUGCCUUUGAAACUGCAGGGCUUGAAUCCUGGAGAGGGUGGCGGAAUUCCUGGUGUAGGAGUGAAAUCCGUAGAUAUCAGGAGGAACACCGGUGGCGAAGGCGGCCACCUGGACAGGCAUUGACGCUGAGGUGCGAAAGUGUGGGGAGCAAACAGGAUUAGAUACCCUGGUAGUCCACACCGUAAACGAUGGAUACUAGGUGUCGGGGACUUGAUCUUCGGUGCCGUAGCUAACGCGUUAAGUAUCCCGCCUGGGGAGUACGGUCGCAAGGCUGAAACUCAAAGAAAUUGACGGGGGGCCCGCACAAGCGGUGGAGUAUGUGGUUUAAUUCGAUG
rnacentral:rRNA from 1 species